GCCGGGGUGGCCGAGCGGCCCAAGGCGUGGGACUGGAGAUCCCAUCCCCGAAAGGGGGCCCGGGUUCAAAUCCCGGCCCCGGCGCCA
rnacentral:tRNA from 1 species